UUAACAAAAACAUGUCUUUUUGAAUUUAAAUAUAAAGUCUAAUCUGCCCACUGAUAAAUUAUUUAAUGGCCGCAGUAUUUUAACUGUGCAAAGGUAGCAUAAUAAUUAGUUUUUUAAUUGAAGGCUUGUAUGAAUGAUUGGACGAGAUAUAAACUGUCUCAUAAAAAUUUUUUUUAGAAUUUAAUUUUUUAGUUAAAAAGCUAAAAUAAAUUUAAAAGACGAGAAGACCCCAUAGAUCUUUAUAUUUUUAUUAUUAUUAUUUUUUAGUUUUUUUAUAAAUUAAUAAAUAAAAAUAUUUUGUUGGGGUGACAUUGAAAUUUAAUAAACUUUCAAAAUUUAAUAACAUUAAUUUAUGAAUUUAUGAUCCUUUAUUAUUGAUUAAAAAUUUAAGUUACCUUGGGGAUAACAGCGUAAUUAUUUUGGAGAGUUCAUAUUGAUAAAAUAGAUUGCGACCUCGAUGUUGGAUUAAGAUUAAUUUUGGAUGCAGCAGUUCAAAUUAUUAAGUCUGUUCGACUUUUAAUUUCUUACGUGAUCU
rnacentral:rRNA from 1 species